UGGGAGAUGGCUCAGGGGUUAAGAGCACUGGCUGUUCUUGCAGAGGGCCUGGGUUCAAUUCCCAGCACCCAC
rfam:Mesocricetus auratus contig038786, whole genome shotgun sequence.